GUAUUAUUAAUUCCAAAAGUGGUCAAAAUUUUUUGUUAGGGUGGGGGACUUAAUAAAAUAGAGUACAUUUUUCAUACCCGUGACUUAGAAAAAAAGAAAACUUAAUCUUAUAUCACUGAGAAAAACUUCCCUGUUGUAAUUGUGUUGACGCAGUUACGGUGUGAAUCAUCCAAUUUAAGUAAAUGAUCAAGAUUAUUUUAGUAUAUGUAUAAUUUAAACCAUCUAAUAUAAAAUUAGUGGUCGAGAUUAAUUACAACGUAAAAAUGUAGAAUUUUUCCGUGGUAGCAAAUCCAUACCAUAUCAUUGCAUGUGUCAUUUCUAUCUCUAUCACUAAAUUCACCCUCUAGUGAAAAUUAUUCCUCUUGCUUCAACUUUUAGGCCCUUUAAGACCCUUUUCAAAGUAUUGAAGAGGAAGAAGAGAAAGUGGAAAGAUGACAACAAAGGAUAUGAAAGUUCAAAUUUCAACAAGAAAUGAUGUGAUGCAAGAAGGUGGUGUCUUGAGACAGCCAAGUAUGAACAAGAACAAUUGUUUAUGUUCUCCAACAACACAUGCUGGUUCAUUUAGGUGUAGGUUACAUCGUACACCUAGUCUCCAAAGGACAAAAAGUAUGGAGUCAUCAUCAUCUACUCAUGGUUCUAUGGUUGAUGCUAAUGGUGAUGCUAACAAGGAUUAGAUAAUUUAGUUAUAGUUUAUCUUUAUUAAAUUGAGUGUUAAUUGUUAUGAUGUUUGUGUAAACUCUUUCUUUUUUUGGUAAGUAAAAGUUUACGAGAGUCGAGUCCUGAGGCUAACCAGGUCAAACCGUCAAAGUAGGCCUGGCACGCGAUGGUAUGAGUCAGCCUGACUCCUUACCAACUGAACCAACUUCUGUUGGCCGUUACAUGUUUUACUUGUGUUGCAUUUUAAUAUUUUAUCAACUAUUUUCUCCUUUA